rnacentral:rRNA from 1 species
UACGAAGGGGGCGAGCGUUGUUCGGAUUUACUGGGCGUAAAGGGCGCGUAGGCGGCCCUCCAAGUCAGGCGUGAAAGCCCCGGGCUCAACCUGGGAGGUGCGCUUGGGACUGGCGGGCUGGAGUUCGGGAGAGGAGAGCGGAAUUCCCAGUGUAGAGGUGAAAUUCGUAGAUAUUGGGAAGAACACCAGUGGCGAAGGCGGCUCUCUGGACCGAGACUGACGCUGAGGCGCGAAAGCGUGGGGAGCAAACAGG